AUGUAUUUGUACUCAAUUUUGACAGCCGGGUCAAUGGUCAACGUGGUGUUUUCUUGUGAUUAUAUUUUGUGUCUUGAAUUGUUCUAGAGAUGCCAUGUCCUUGUUUUUCAAUUGAGGUGUGUAUAAAGUCAAAAGCCAGGCCCAGGAGUAAUGAUGUGCAGGUAGCGAGUCAGCCGGCCAGCCAGCCCUUAUUGGUGUACAACAACAUAUGAGUCCAGUUAUUCCAUGUGUACCGAGAAAGACAGAGCGGUU